CUAUAUGCCUUGGCGUUCCUACGCCGGCAAACACCCUUGUCUAUGUGUACCGUACGUUGUUCCCUCGGCAGGGCCCUCCCUGCCGCUGGGUCUCCACCAAAAAACUCUUUGCAGCAAAAGCAGUAUACCUGUCUGAUUGUGGGCAUCAAAAACUAUUA
rnacentral:misc_RNA from 1 species